CUUUCACGAGCUCUUUUCGAACAUAUUGUAUAUUAAGAGCCUCCAACGCAAUGUAAAAUGGAGUGGUGUGGACCCAUACUUCCUUCUUUUUUUUUUUUUUUUUGUCUUUUUAUAUGUCGCAUGGAAAUGAUAAGGUUGGCCGUAACAAAAUUUAAAGAAGACAGGCAUAGGAAUGAGUUUAUUUGCUCUUAGGAGACAAUUCCCGAAUGCUUCAUUAGUUCAUCUCUAUUUUUGAAGAGGUCAUUAAAAUUUACAAGCUCAUUAUCUCCCAUCAGUGGAAGAGCAGCCAACAAAAAUGAAUUCCAAGAAGAAUAUAGCCCUUUCUUCCAGUAAGUUUCAUUCUUAGGUAUAGCUGAAAAAAGCUCUUCCGGACCCAUGCCCAGACCACCGGACUCAGUCUUAAUCGUCUAAGCCAGGAAUAUUUUAAAGACUUCCAACAUAAACCAACCCCUAGUCCCUAACUGGAGUAUGAAAUCUUUCUGCCGAUAUGUAUAAGGUUGCAUCCAGGAGCAUUUAUGCAGGAAGUUGCCUUUCUCAUCGUACUAGAUAUCAUGUCACUAAAUUUUCGAGGGAUUUUAUAUUUCACCAACUGUUCUAAUAUAUACUCGUGCGAGAUGCUAUCAAAUGCCUUUUCUCAAUCUAUUAGAAGGACUGCAUAAUUUAAUUCUCUUCAUUUGAUUCAACAAUCGCAUCUUGAAUGCUUCUUGGGAUAUCCUCGGCAAGUCUGUUUUUUUUACAAAUCCUUUCUGGUUUUGAGUGAUUAAUAUUGGUAUAACAUUAAGCAGUCUUGGAUUUAGAAUACCAGUAAGUAUCUUGGACUAAGUAAGCGAUAUUGGUCUAUAGUUUUUUAAGUCCAUUUUAUAUUUUCCUUUUUAUGUACAAGUACCAAGAUACUUGGUACAGGUGAACGAAGGGAUGUAGCCUUUUUGAAAGAUUUCCAAAAAUUCAUAGCUCUUCACCAAAAAUUAAAUUUCAAUUAUAGAACCAUUUCAUUGAUUAGAGUCGUUAAGUGUCCUUGAUCUAUUGUAUAUAAGGCAGAAAUCACUCAUCGCAAUCAGAUUUAUAUGAAUUCCAUUUAUAAGUUGGACUUUGUCAUAUACCGUCUAUACGGACAAUUAUAUAAACUGGAUACUUCAAUCUCACUCCUGAUUUUUUUAUUACAACUGAGUCUCUUUUGUCAUUGGAAAACAAGUGCAAGAGUAUUCUAGACUCAUAAGUAUAAUGUGCUUUUCUUUUCUCGAUAUUUUGGUCUACAAAGCAUAUUCUAUUCUAAUAUUACAUAUAAAUAGUUAUUUAGAACUGGAGAGUUCCACAAAAAGAAAUCAUUCUCGAAUGAGAGGAACAAAGUGUUAUUAUUUCUUAUCCACAGCUCCUUCGUUCAAACUCUUUAAGCCACUCUCUUCCAAUGUCGACUUUUUUUCGUCUCUUAUUCUGAGGAAAAUAUUUCAUUGUUAGGGAUAAUUCAGUUUCCUUGAAGUAUAUAAGGCAGAAAUCCCUUGGAAAAAGUAGAAGUAAAUCUUAGACUCUUAAUGAAUAUGCAGCCUUUUUUCUCAAUAUUUUUCUCUGCAAUGUAUAUUAUAUUUUAUAUUAUCUUCAAUAAUAGAUUUUGUGAAUAGUUGAGUACACAGUGGUUAUGCGAUAACAAAUUAUAUUUGACCUCUUAACUUCUGUAGACUUAAAUUGGAGAAAACCUUAAUAUAAUUACAAUUUCGAAACUUAGUUAGUCUUAAUCUUCUUGUAAAAACUUAAUUACUUAUCACCAUAUUGGAAUAUUACUCCCAUGAAGAUUUAGG
rnacentral:lncRNA from 1 species